GACGAACGCUGGCGGCGUGCUUAACACAUGCAAGUCGAACGGAAAGGCCCUGCUUUUGUGGGGUGCUCGAGUGGCGAACGGGUGAGUAACACGUGAGUAACCUGCCCUUGACUUUGGGAUAACUUCAGGAAACUGGGGCUAAUACCGGAUAGGAGCUCCUGCUGCAUGGUGGGGGUUGGAAAGUUUCGGCGGUUGGGGAUGGACUCGCGGCUUAUCAGCUUGUUGGUGGGGUAGUGGCUUACCAAGGCUUUGACGGGUAGCCGGCCUGAGAGGGUGACCGGCCACAUUGGGACUGGGAUACGGCCCAGACUCCUACGGGAGGCAACAGUGGGGAAUAUUGCGCGAUGGGCGGAAGCCUGAGGCAGAAACGCCGCGUGCGGGAUGACGGCCUUCGGGUUGUAAACCGCUUUCGCCUGUGACGAAGCGUGAGUGACGGUAAUGGGUAAAGAAGCACCGGCUAACUACGUG
rnacentral:rRNA from 1 species